rnacentral:rRNA from 1 species
GUAGGGAAUAUUGCACAAUGGGCGAAAGCCUGAUGCAGCAACGCCGCGUGCGCGAUGAAGACCUUCGGGUUGUAAAGCGCUUUUCUGAAAGACGAGGAAGGACGGUACUUCAGGAAUAAGGAUCGGCUAACUACGUGCCAGCAGCCGCGGUAAUACGUAGGAUCCGAGCGUUAUCCGAAUUUACUGGGCGUAAAGCGCGUGUAGGCGGUUUGAUAAGUUGGAUGUGAAAGCUCCCGGCUCAACUGGGAGAGGCCGUUCAAAACUAUCAGACUAGAGGACGGUAGAGGGAGGUAGAAUUCCCGGUGUAGUAGUGAAAUGCGUAGAUAUCGGGAGGAAUACCAGUGGCGAAGGCGGCCUCCUGGACCGUUCCUGACGCUCAGACGCGAAAGCUAGGGGAGCGAACGGGAUUAGAAACCCUAGUAGUCC